rnacentral:miRNA from 1 species
GCGGAAGGCGGAGCGGCGGA